CAGUAGCCGCGGGAAUACGUAGGGUGCAAGCGUUAAUCGGAAUUACUGGGCGUAAAGCGUGCGCAGGCGGUGUUGUAAGACUGAUGUGAAAUCCCCGGGCUCAACCUGGGAACUGCAUUGGUGACUGCAACGCUGGAGUGCGGCAGAGGGGGAUGGAAUUCCGCGUGUAGCAGUGAAAUGCGUAGAUAUGCGGAGGAACACCGAUGGCGAAGGCAAUCCCCUGGGCCUGCACUGACGCUCAUGCACGAAAGCGUGGGGAGCGAACAGGAUUAGAUACCCCGGUAGUCCCUGUCUCUUAUAC
rnacentral:rRNA from 1 species